rnacentral:rRNA from 1 species
CGUGAGGGAAAGGUGAAAAGCACCCCGGGAGGGGAGUGAAAAAGAACCUGAAACCGUAUGCCUACAAACAGUCAGAGCACUAUUUAAUCCUCGGAUUAAAGUGUGAUGGCGUACCUUUUGUAGAAUGGGCCAGCGAGUUACCGUAACAUGCGAGGUUAAAUCUAAAAGGAUGGAGCCGAAGCGAAAGCGAGUCUUAAGAGGGCGAAAGAGUAUGGUGCGGUAGACCCGAAACCGGGUGAUCUAUCCAUGGCCAGGGUGAAGUCUCGGUAACACGAGAUGGAGGCCCGAACCAGAGUACGUUAAAAAGUGCGUGGAUGAGCUGUGGAUAGGGGUGAAAUGCCAAUCGAACCCGGAGAUAGCUGGUUCUCCCCGAAAUAGCUUUAGGGCUAGCGUUAUGGAAGGACUUAUGGGGGUAGAGCACUGGUUAGGCUAGGGGCCUUACUCGGUUACCGAACCUUCCCAAACUCCGAAUACCAUAAGAUAACCCAUAGCAGUCAGUCUGCGGGUAACAAGGUCCGUAGACGAAAGGGAAACAGCCCAGACCAACAGCUAAGGUCCCAAAAUCUAUGCUAAGUGGGAAAGGAUGUAGGGCUGCACAGACAGCCAGGAUGUUGGCUUAGAAGCAGCCACCAUUCAAAGAGUGCGUAAUAGCUCACUGGUCAAGUGGCCCUGCGCCGAAAAUAUAACGGGGCUAAGCAUAGUACCGAAGCUUUGGCAGCGCGCUUCGCGCGCUGGGUAGGGGAGCGUUCUUAUCGGGCAGAAGCUAUACCGGAAGGAGUAGUGGACUGAUAAGAAGAGAGAAUGCUGGCAUAAGUAAGCGAGAAGGCAGGUGAGAAUCCUGCCCGCCGAAAACCUAAGGUUUCCUGGGGAAGGCUCGUCCGCCCAGGGUAAGCCGGGACCUAACCCGAGGCCGAAAGGCGUAGGGGAUGGACAACUGGUUGAAAAUCCAGUGCCACCUGAAAGCCGUUAAGAGUGAAGGGGUGACGCAGGAGGAUAGGUGAAGCGCACGAUUGGAAGAGUGCGUCCAAGCACGAAGAGGGUGAGACAGGCAAAACCGUCUCACGAGACCUUGAGGUGUGAUGGGGAGUGAAACAAAGUAGCGAAGUCAUCGAAUCCAAACUGCCAAGAAAAGCCUCUAGCCAGGAAGAAGGUGCCCGUACCGUAAACCGACACAGGUAGGUGAGGAGAGAAUCCUAAGGCGCGCGAGAGAACCCUCGUUAAGGAACUCGGCAAAAUAACCCCGUAACUUCGGGAGAAGGGGUGCUCUGAUAGCGUGAGUAUAUAAACAUGUACGAGCGUGAGAGAGCCGCAGUGACCAGGCCCAGGCGACUGUUUAGCAAAAACACAGGUCUCUGCCAAAUCGAAAGAUGAAGUAUAGAGGCUGACGCCUGCCCGGUGCUGGAAGGUUAAGGGGAGAGCUUAGCGGCAACGCGAAGGCUUGAGCCGAAGCCCCAGUGAACGGCGGCCGUAACUAUAACGGUCCUAAGGUAGCGAAAUUCCUUGUCUGGUAAGUUCAGACCCGCACGAAAGGCGUAACGAUCUGGGCGCUGUCUCGACGAGGGGCUCGGUGAAAUUGUAAUACCGGUGAAGAUGCCGGUUACCUGCGAUAGGACAGAAAGACCCCGUGGAGCUUUACUGCAGCUUGAUAUUGGAUUUUGGUAGUGCAUGUACAGGAUAGGUGGGAGACUAAGAAUCCAGGUCGCAAGGCUUGGAGGAGUCAAUGGUGGGAUACCACUCUUGAAUUGCUGGAAUUCUAACCUGGGCCCGUAAACCGGGUCAGGGACAUUGUCUGGCGGGCAGUUUGACUGGGGCGGUCGCCUCCCAAAGAGUAACGGAGGCGCCCAAA